UGCCUACCAUAGUGUUUGUGUGCGAGACAAAAGGGUAGCCGGCGCCACCCAAACCAAGCAUAAAGGACGGACGGAAGGAAGGGUCAAAACAAAGCGUUGUGUAAGAGAGUAGAGUAGACACCUAGCAGAGCGCGAGGGAGGGGGGGCGAAGCGACGGAUCCCAAACGCGGCUCGUCUAGGCCGGCCGCCGCCGCCGCGGCGGCCUGCUCGACUGGCCGGGGCGGCGUGCCCCGGCGUCGGGCUGGCGAGGCUGUGGCCGCCGAAGGAGGCAGCUAGGCUAGGCCGCCGCUCCUACAGAGGCGGCGGCCGCAGCGGGCGCGACAGCCGCGUCUUCGACUGGUGGUUGCUGCGCGAGCGGAUGGAGUUCCGGCAGUUCCUGUUCAAGGUGCUGUUGGCGCGGUUCAUGCUGCUCAAGGAGCUCCAGUACGCGCUGAAGUUCUCGCGGUCCUAGCUGUGCCGCCCGCAGUAGUAGGCCCACUUCUGCGAGAAGUCGCCGAUGGGCCUCGAGUAGGAGCCGAAGUUGCGGAAGGACGGGUUCCCGAAGCGGUAGUUCGAGGUCCUGUAGCUGCCGUGGCGGCCGCUGUUCUUCGUCGGGCAGCUGAAGUACCUCCGGUAGUUGAAGCAGUUGUUCUAGUUCCGGUCCAAGGUCCGUGUCCUGGUGCAGAUGUUCCGUAAGGAGCGGUAGGAGUUGUACAUGGCGUACGUGUUGUUCAGGUAGGUCCUGCAGAUGGUCCUCCAGCGAUGCGACAAGGUGCUGGUGGGGCUGGACGAGCUCCUCAAGUUCGUAAAGAACGGACUAUGCAGGUUGCGAGGCGUUCACGACCGACGAGGAUUUCGGCAAAGGCGGUUUGUCCUCUGGCGCCGUCACGGAAGACGGUCACGGUCCUUACACGUCUCGUAGUUCUCUCUCUCCGGAGUCGGUAGUUGACGACUCGCACUGUCGUCACAACUAGCGGGACUAGAGCUCGUACUGGGGCUGUCCUUCGCACAGCUGUUCCUUUUCCUAGCAUUCUAGCUGGCCCUGUCUUUUCUAGUACUGUUCCUACGACUCAUGCUUUCGUUUCUAAACCUGCCUCCCGAUGCGUUCGCGUUUCGAAAGAGUUUCUUCGACCUCCCACUUUGUGUGGUUCCCCGCCGUUCGUAGAGACGAAGCAGCAUGUUACUAUUACUACGUGACUUUUCACGUAUGUGUGUUCUCAAGGAAAAGACACUCUUUCAGUUCCUCUUCGAUCUCGGACUUCGAAUGGUCCUCAAAAACUUUACGGAAGUGUAUAUGUCAGUCCUUUAUUAAUGUUCUUCACUUAACUUUUUAGACCAUGUACUGUAUGAAGUCGCGAUGGGUCUCGAAUACUGACCUAAAUCGCUCAAGAACCUUGUAACACUUUUGUAUCUACCAAAAGACCUACCUCAGUAGUUAUUUUCCGUUUGUAGUGCUUGUCAGUUCCGUAACCUUUUUCUCUCUCUGUUUCCCGCACGUCCCCUCCUGUCCCUUUCUCUACGACUUUUUGGCUCGCUUUUCCUUGCUCUUUCCGAACUAUUUCACAGACGCGAGUUAAGAUUCCUUCGGUGAUAGGUGUUUCGAUGGUGCAAGAGACGCUUUCUCUUCAUAGAUACGUUCGGUUAUAGUCUCGAACUGGAGAGUUUGACAGUCGCCACGUGAGGGUCAAUGGCUGAAAACGGAUUUUUAAUGGGGCACGGACGAAGUUCAACGUCUUGACUGGAACCUUAGAGACACGAGUUACUAGUGACCCAUAGUCAAUGGAGUCCUUCGCUUCUAAUAAGUAAAUUUGUGUACGCCUUCUUAGUCAUGCUUCUUUCGAACAAAUCUACGCUUCUACUGUCCAAACUCAACCUGUACGACGACCUUAGUCAAUUACACCGCUAAUUCGCACAACUCCUCAACUAUCUUUUUUACGUUCUUUUAAGUUAGUUUGGUCUGUCGGGAUAUGCGUAGCUACUUGUAAACUGGAGAGACUUAAACUCCACGUAUCUUGCCGAUAUACCACUGGUACCGGAACUACAGUACCUACAAGAAGCAUUUUUACGCUCACACCGUAAUGGUCAAUAAAAUUGAUCCGAAUUCGUUUUCGUCCUCCUUACCAGUUCCACGGCCAGUCUAAAAUUAUUCCAAACCCGACUUUAUAUACGGUUCUUAAUAGUGUUCAGGGAACUGGUAGCGUCAAAGAUAAAGUUUGUUGUUCUAUGCUUCUUAGACUCGUGUUCUCGAGAUAACAGACUCUAGUUUCUUUAAUUACUCUUCUUUUCCUUCCUCCUACUACACGAAGAACGAUAACGACGACCCUUAUCCGCCGGUUAUCAAGGGUUAUACAGUAAACUCAUACAUCUAAGUCUUUAAGUACUUCUACAAAUAGUCUAGUAGUUCAUGAGAACACCUCUUCAGACGUCGAGAGGUCUAGUUCAACUGUUUCACUACUCUUGGACCUGCUGUAAACACCUUGGAUAAAACCCUCAAGUUGGGGCUUGAGGACGGCAACUUCUACGUUCACACCAUUUUAGCUUCUCGGCUUGGGGAUGCUGACCAGAACGUUCACGUCCCCUUUCAUUAUUACAUUAUGGUUUGCCACGUCAGUGACAAUUCGUUCGGUUGGCUCUACUUUCGUAAGGCUUCCUUGUUCGUGUUAGAAGAGCACCAAAUAACCGCUUACCUCAAAGUCUUCUACGAGUUUUACCGAAGGUACUACGACUAGCUUGACAGGCGUCUCCACUCCCCGGUAGAUUGUACAGUAAUGUAGUCUGACUUGUCUUAGUCGCCUCUUGUUUAUACCUCGAAUGUAGUCCAUGAUUAAGAAGAUCUCUAUUAAAGAGGCCUUCACUCCGACAACAACUUCGAUACCCACCGUUACUUUGUUAAGGUAGAUAUCCCUCUCCUCUUCGACCCUCCGGUCCUAGACACGGAGUCUUCUUAAGUUUCCAACUUUCUCUUCUCCCUCUUAAUAGAGGAUUACCCCUAAAACUUCUCCUAUUAAAACCCGGAGAUCCUUUACGUCGACAUCUGCCUCGAAGCUUCGGCUUCCUUCAAAGGCGACCAUCUUGAUCUCGUCGACUCAAACGACCUCGCUUACUACGACUACGUCUACUACUUCCACUGCUUUCACGGGUCUCUAGAUGUCUUUCACUUUUACGUAGACUCCGACCGCUCCUGCGAAGACCAUCACUUAGACCACUGCCGCUCCUCACAAGAGCCCUUCUAUUGCUCCUGCUUCUCCUACGACUAGUACUACUAGGACUACGAUUCCAACUUUCACUCCCACUCCGUCUCCCUUUGUGUCUCCGUGUACUACGGCUGCCUCCCUACAGUGAUGGCAAAAGUCUCGCAAACGUAUUAUGUCAAUCUGGUGAGCGGUUCGUACAGGGGUGUCGAAACGUCCUAGUACCGCCCUUCAAAAGUGCGUAUAAAAUACCUUUACUAAGUAAAAUACAAGACAAGUCCGAUGUGGUCUAGAAUAUGCUCUCCGAUGAUAGUCGGUUCUGUUUGAGAAGAUGUCGACUUUUCUUCACCUCUUGAAGGUUCCUAUGCUCGAGGGGUGUGGUUAUGAGUUUCAAAUACCCACGUGAAAUAUUGAACUAACUACCGAGAAGACUGUUGUGGUUUAAGCUCCUACUGACGGCAAGUUAGUAGCCCUGAGUCAGGAUACAAGAAAAAUGUAAUCUAUUCGACUAUAUGUUUCAACACUUCGUCGAAGUUCGUUAUCGUCGACUACUUUACCUAUUGUUCGACGAGGUCGAAAUAUAUAUACUCUUCAGGUCCAGAGGACCUUCCAAGAAACUAGAUCAAAUGGUACUUUUACGAGCCCAAGAAGAGGUACUGCUCUCGUAUAUAGCUAAACUUGCCGCGAGUUUAGGAUGCUCUAAUAGACAAGUCGAGUACCUCAUACCCGUACUUUUCGGACUUCAUUGACGUCAGAGUUAACUAGGUUUGAAAAGCAGUAUAGAAAUACUGCUCAUGAACAGUUCAUAAAGCCUAAGUUUCCACAGACUUCUACACAAGGAACUCUCCUUAUUCGCCUUUGCGCCCUCGUCGUUACCGGGAGUUCGAAGGAACCGCCAGUACCUACCAAAGUUCCAGCGCUUACCGGAACUUACGUUCUAUUGGACGUUUAGGAGUUUCCAAAGCAUACAGGAACUAUGUCUUCUGAAAAAUAAGGCAUACUCCUUGUCCUCCUCUUAGAGUAGACCACGUUGGCGGCGGCGGCGUGGACCGUUCCGGCUAAAACAGUUCCGUCGACUACAGCACUUUCGUGUCGCCAAAGUAUUUAAAGAAGAAAGAUCGGUACCAUAGUAGAUUAGACCUCUGCUGCGACCGUACGAAACUUGUUUACGCCACCCACCCAUUGGUUUCGACGAAAACUUGAAAAACCAUGUCGGAAAACCUUCUUCUACUCCACCACGGCUCAUCGACCCUGGCGACCUCGACCAUUUAUGGUUCGUUAGUUUCGUACAUCCGUCAGAACAACAAUUCAACAAUGGGCUACGACGACGACCCUUACACAUAUAAUAAUUACAAUACAUUAUGGGUCUUCUCUUACACUGCAGCACAAUAGGUACUCCCUCCCUCCCUCCAAUAACAAUAAUUAGAGUGGCCACCAGGCUAGUUGACUAGCAACAAUCAACAAUGACAGGUAUACAAACAAACAAACAACAACAGGACAGAGCGACAAUGUAAACGACAGCACCACUUCGUUUACGUCUGAACUAAGUUCAGACCUGUAAUGAUAUAAACAAUCACUACGGUCGGUAGACGUAAUUGACCUAACACGAGGAUCAUCAUCCAGACCUAGUAGUAUACUAAUUCAAACGACAUUGAAACCAGAACGUACCAUCGUCAACAUCAUUUUCGUACCCCGACCAUAUUUUAUGUACGUAAUACGUAUUACUGAAGCGUCUCUCGUACACCGUAUUCACAUGCUUUAGGGGUUAGUUAUUUGCUUUAUACAUAUACC
rnacentral:rRNA from 1 species